rnacentral:lncRNA from 1 species
AUGGAGCUUGGUAAUAUAUUUAAAAGACUGUUCAACAAAAAUGUGGCGACACAAGAUAGUAAUAAUAUUUCGCUCUUAACUAAUUUAAACAAUAAUAAUAAUAAUAAUAGUAAUAAUAAUAAUAGUAGUAAUAAUAAUAGUAAUAAUAAUAAUAGUAAUAAUAAUAAUAGUAAUAAUAGUAAUAAUAAUAAUAAUAAUAAUAAUAGUAAGAUUUGGGGAAGUAGCAUUUAUAAUUAUAAAAGAAAUAAUAUAAUUUAUUGUGAUGUAGAAGAAGAAAAUAAAUUAAAAAUUAACGAAACUGAAAAUGAAGAUAAAAUAAAACCAGUAGAUGGAGGUGGAGGAACAGCAACAAGUGGAAGCGGAUUAGGGUCACAAUAUCCAAAUUCGUUCGAUGCACCUGAAGCUUUAUUGUAUGAAAAUUUAAAUAAAGAAUAUAAAUAUAUAACAACUCAAGAUACAUUUGAUGGUUUUCGAUUUGAAGUUGAUAAAAACAUAAAUAAGUAUUUACAAUCAUCACAUACAUUAAUAUUAGGUACAACGUUAAGAGAAGUUGGAUAUUUAUAUCAAUUUGGUGCAAAUUUUACAAACAUAGAUAAUACCUUAUUAAUGAUUAGUAGAAUAAAUAUAGAUGGUAGUGUAAAUGGUAGAUUUUAUAAAAAAUUCAAUAAUUUAUUUGAUUAUAAAUUUAAUUUUAAUACUUAUGCAAAUAAUGAUACAAGAAAUAUGUAUGAAAUGUCACUUGAAGUAAAUAAACCUACACAUACAUAUAAUUUAAAAACAAUCUGGCAAAGUGCUUGGAUUUUUAAUGUAUCAUAUAAUCAACUAUUAACGAAAAAGUUACAAGCAGGUGUAGAUUUAACUUAUAUAGCUUCAAAUAGUGCUUCUAUAGGUUCAGUUGGAUUACGUUACAAUCAUAAAAAUAAUGUAUUAGUUAUGCAAGUUGUUAGGCAACCUAAUUUUAAAUCACCAGAAUUUAUGUUAAAUCAAACACAUUUAUAUAAAAUCCAAUAUGCAAAAAAAAUAUCCGAUCGUUUGUCCGUAGGAACAGAACUGGAGUUGACACCUGAAACAAAAGAAUCUGCUAUGCGUUUAGGGUGGGACUAUACAUUUAGACAUGCACGAGUACAAGGCAGUAUUGACACUAGUGGAAAAAUAUCUGUGUUUACACAAGAUUAUUCAGGGUUAGGUAUUAGUGGGUAUGUUGAUUAUCCAAAUAAUGAAUAUAAAUUUGGCUUUAUGGUACACAUUAUGCCAGCUCAAGAACAGCCACAUAUGUCUCUCUCAGCUUAA